CCUACGGGAGGCAGCAGUGGGGAAUAUUGGACAAUGGGGGGAACCCUGAUCCAGCGACGCCGCGUGAGUGAAGAAGUAUUUCGGUAUGUAAAGCUCUAUCAGCAGGGAAGAAAGAAAUGACGGUACCUGACGAAGAAGCGCCGGCUAACUACGUGCCAGCAGCCGCGGUAAUACGUAGGGGACAAGCGUUAUCCGGAUUUACUGGGUGUAAAGGGAGCGUAGACGGUUACGCAAGUCUGGAGUGAAAGGCGGGGGCGCAACCCCCGGACUGCUUUGGAGACUGUAUAACUAGAGUGCAGGAGAGGUAAGUGGAAUGCCUAGUGUAGCGGUGAAAUGCGUAGAUAUUAGGAGGAACACCAGUGGCGAAGGCGGCUUACUGGACUGUAACUGACGUUGAGGCUCGAAAGCGUGGGGAGCAAACAGGAUUAGAUACCCCAGUAGUC
rnacentral:rRNA from 1 species